UCCAGGAUCACCGCAUUGAUGUGACGUCUAUUGUUACCGACCGGCAUGCCCAGAUAAAGUGUUUUCUUCGGAAGGAGAGGUCCGACAUCACGCAUGAAUUCGAUGUCUGGCAUGUCGUUAAAGGUAUGAUGUAGUCUGUACUUGACUGGACCAGAAUAUUUUUACUUGCAUUAUGCAUUCUUGCAAGAAAGGCAUGCAUAUAUUUUUUUAAAUUUCAGGUGUUCACAAAAAGUUGCUUGCUGUGGCUAAGAGAAAUGACUCCAAAGAGCUCAAGGAGUGGACGCAAGCUGUUGGGAACCACCUCUAUUGGUAGGCUGCCUCAAGUGAGGGCCACAAGGAGCUCAUUGUUCCGAAGUGGAAAUCACUGCUAAAUCAUGUCAGAGACAUUCACAGCCAUGAGGAUGCACUGUUUCCAUCCUGUCUUCAUGGAGACAUUGAACCGCGGAAUUGGCUUAGCACAGAGUCGAAGGCUUUCCAGAAGCUGAAGGAAGUAGCGACUUCCAAGGCCCUCCUGAGAGAUUUGCCACAACUAGCAACGAAGUUCCAGACCUAUGGUUUAGAAGCUUUCCAUAGCGUGCUGCUGCAUUUCGCGCCCAAGUUGUGCCAGUACUCCUUUGAAGGAAUGGUGGCAAGGACUCGGUUAGCAGCCAUGCACUACAAUGAGAACAGUGAGAGAAGGCAGGCAUGCACACAGGAUGGCACUUCUAGGUGGAUUGUGAAAUACCCGAAAGCCACAGGAGGCAAUGCGGUUGCCUGUCCUGUAAAGGAGCAACCCACACAUGGCUAUGUGAAGAGACUACUGGAAGUGGUUAUGCUGGACGCUGUCACAGUGUUACGGACGAGAAGGACCACAAAUGCGAAGAUUCCGCCACCUCUCAGCAGCCGCUUUCCUAAAGCAUCAAAGGAAGAGCUUGUAAACAGGCGGAGAACAAGAUUCAACAAGUAGUUAGAUAUUAUGGUCUUGUAGCAAAAUGUAAUGAGAAUGCCAACAAUGUGAAAAGCUGGUUUGCUCCUAACACAAGCCAUUGUAGACUCAUGACACAGUGCAUGACAAACUACCUUUGUGACAGCUUCACGACAUCCAUGUAAAUAACUUUAUAAAUAUGUGUUUGUGUAUGCUAGGGUUGGCUGUUUUUCUAUUUUACAUGUGUGGCAACCAGAUAAAAUGACACUGAAUAAAAUAUAUAUGUGCUUCC